rnacentral:rRNA from 1 species
CCUACGGGCGGCAGCAGUGAGGAAUAUUGGUCAAUGGGCGAGAGCCUGAACCAGCCAAGUCGCGUGAAGGAUGAAGGAUCUAUGGUUUGUAAACUUCUUUUAUAUGGGAAUAAAGUGAGGAACGUGUUCCUUUUUGUAUAUACCAUAUGAAUAAGCAUCGGCUAACUCCGUGCCAGCAGCCGCGGUAAUACGGAGGAUGCGAGCGUUAUCCGGAUUUAUUGGGUUUAAAGGGUGCGUAGGUGGUUAAUUAAGUCAGCGGUGAAAGUUUGUGGCUCAACCAUAAAAUUGCCGUUGAAACUGGUUGACUUGAGUAUAUUUGAGGUAGGCGGAAUGCGUGGUGUAGCGGUGAAAUGCAUAGAUAUCACGCAGAACUCCGAUUGCGAAGGCAGCUUACUAAACUAUAACUGACACUGAAGCACGAAAGCGUGGGGAGCAAACAGGAUUAGAUACCCUAGUAGUC